rnacentral:misc_RNA from 1 species
UUGUAUUGUGAUUUAUUUUAACUUGCCAUUCUUGCCCUGUACUUUCGAUGCUAUAAUAUAUUACUUUGAGACUCCUUUAACACCCUCACCACUCACAGACCCACACUCGGGAUGAUUCAGUCACCACUCACAGACCCACACUCGGGAUGAUUCAGUCACCGACUCUCUAUAAGUGAUUACAAUGGCUGUAUUUUCUCUGCACUGUUAUUCUUGUAGAAAUCUCAAAUCACAUUGUAUGUAUUAUUGUUCUGAAUAUAUUAGGACCAAAAGAUGCUUUGCUUGUUUAUAACUUAGUUACUUGCUAGUAUUACUUGAUGUCUUUCUAGAUACAUGUACUUGAAGUUAGCCAGAUUAACCUAAUGAAUUACUAAUAAAGUAUCUUGCUUACUACAGUGUAUAUAUAUGUAUUUUAGAUAAGUAUUUCACGUAUACAAGAGCAUAUUUUUUGUUAUUAACCCAUCAUCUCUUUCUAUGGGGGAGCUUUUUAAAGUCAUACAAUAAUUUUUUGGAGGAUAUUUCGUAUUACUGUAUUAAUUAAGUGCAGUAUGAUUAAUUUUUAAUAUUAGUCUUUGAAAAUAUUAUUGUAAAACAUUUUGAAUGCAUUCUUAUAAUGAUUAAUUUUGAUAGUUAAAUGUUAUAUCUAUGACUUAUUGAAAAAAAAAUGAAAUUACAUGUAAAAUUCAUGUAUCCUGUAAAAUACCUAGCAUUAAUGAUAUGUGUUUUUGAUUUCUUAUGUUUUUUCUCUACUGUCAAAGACAGUUAUUGUUUUGUCAUAAUAUGUAGUAUUAAUAAAGUUUGCAUGCUAC